rnacentral:misc_RNA from 1 species
GAAAUGCGAUAAGUAGUGUGAAUUGCAGAAUUCAGUGAAUCAUCGAAUCUUUGAACGCACAUUGCGCCCCUUGGUAUUCCAUGGGGCAUGCCUGUUCGAGCGUCAUUUGUACCCUCAAGCUCUGCUUGGUGUUGGGUGUUUGUCCCCGUCUCCGCGCGUGGACUCGCCCCAAAGUGAUUGCCAGCCGGCGUACUGGUCCCGGAGCGCAGCACAUGUCGCGCAAACGAGUGCCUUGGUACGGCGGCGUCCAUAAGCCCCUCUCUCACGCUCUUGACCUCGGAUCAGGUAGGGAUACCCGCUGAACUUAAGC